CAGUCGCCACGGGAAUACGUAGGGUGCAAGCGUUAAUCGGAAUUACUGGGCGUAAAGCGUGCGCAGGCGGUUCGCUAAGACAGAUGUGAAAUCCCCGGGCUUAACCUGGGAACUGCAUUUGUGACUGGCGGGCUAGAGUAUGGCAGAGGGGGGUAGAAUUCCACGUGUAGCAGUGAAAUGCGUAGAGAUGUGGAGGAAUACCGAUGGCGAAGGCAGCCCCCUGGGCCAAUACUGACGCUCAUGCACGAAAGCGUGGGGAGCAAACAGGAUUAGAUACCCGUGUAGUCCCUGUCUCUUAUAC
rnacentral:rRNA from 1 species